rnacentral:rRNA from 1 species
GAUGAACGCUAGCUACAGGCUUAACACAUGCAAGUCGAGGGGUAGCAUGUUGGUUGCUUGCAACCGAUGAUGACGACCGGCGCACGGGUGAGUAACGCGUAUCCAACUUGGCUUAUACUUAGGGAUAACCCGUUGAAAGACGGCCUAAUACCUAAUGGUUUAUAAUAGUUGCAUGACUGUUAUAAUAAAGAUUUAUCGGUAUAAGAUAGGGAUGCGUCUGAUUAGUUAGUUGGUGAGGUAACGGCUCACCAAGGCAUCGAUCAGUAGGGGUUCUGAGAGGAAGGUCCCCCACAUUGGAACUGAGACACGGUCCAAACUCCUACGGGAGGCAGCAGUGAGGAAUAUUGGUCAAUGGACGUAAGUCUGAACCAGCCAAGUAGCGUGCAGGAUGACGGCCCUAUGGGUUGUAAACUGCUUUUAUGUGAGAAUAAAGUUAACUACGUGUAGUUAUUUGCAUGUAUCACAUGAAUAAGGACCGGCUAAUUCCGUGCCAGCAGCCGCGGUAAUACGGAAGGUCCGGGCGUUAUCCGGAUUUAUUGGGUUUAAAGGGAGCGUAGGCCGUUUGGUAAGCGUGCUGUGAAAUUUAGAGGCUCAACCUCUACCGUGCAGCGCGAACUGUCAGACUUGAGUGCGUAGUAGGUAGGCGGAAUUCGUGGUGUAGCGGUGAAAUGCUUAGAUAUCACGAAGAACUCCGAUUGCGAAGGCAGCUUACCGUAUCGCAACUGACGCUGAUGCUCGAAGGUGCGGGUAUCGAACAGGAUUAGAUACCCUGGUAGUCCGCACAGUAAACGAUGGAUGCUCGCUGUUGGCUAUUAUAGUCAGUGGCUUAGCGAAAGCGUUAAGCAUCCCACCUGGGGAGUACGCCGGCAACGGUGAAACUCAAAGGAAUUGACGGGGGCCCGCACAAGCGGAGGAACAUGUGGUUUAAUUCGAUGAUACGCGAGGAACCUUACCCGGGCUUGAACUGCAGGAGAACGAUUCAGAGAUGAUGAGGUCCUUCGGGACUCCUGUGGAGGUGCUGCAUGGUUGUCGUCAGCUCGUGCCGUGAGGUGUCGGCUUAAGUGCCAUAACGAGCGCAACCCCUUUUCUUAGUUGCCAUCGGGUGAUGCCGGGCACUCUGAGGAUACUGCCACCGUAAGGUGUGAGGAAGGUGGGGAUGACGUCAAAUCAGCACGGCCCUUACGUCCGGGGCUACACACGUGUUACAAUGGGGCAUACAGAGUGUUGGUUGCAUGUAAAUGUAAUCUAAUCUUUAAAGUGCUUCUCAGUUCGGACUGGGGUCUGCAACCCGACCCCACGAAGCUGGAUUCGCUAGUAAUCGCGCAUCAGCCAUGGCGCGGUGAAUACGUUCCCGGGCCU